rnacentral:lncRNA from 1 species
AUUCUCCCCCUGCUCCCGAUGGCGCUCCUGGAAGCUCUGCAACUAUGCUCCACUUCAAAUGGACCCAUAACUGGUGUUACACCCCCACUCCCUGCCACCACAAAUACUGAGUCCAUUCCAGGAAUAGAAACCGCCGAAGGAUUACAUUCUCCACGGAGAACGAUCUCUAUGAAGGAAGAAGAUGGACAAUGUCUAUACGCCAUCUUCAGUUGGUAACGCUGUGGCAGUUAGCAUAACCAGUGCUAGGCAAGAUUCAACCGCACUGGCUGCGGUAUGCGUGGCCAACCGGAGUGAGGACAAAUCCCAUUCCGUCUGAAGACUGUCUCCUGCCAGAGAUCAAAUGCAGCUCGCACAUACAUGACACCAAGCAGAACACACUAAGAGAUUUUCCAUGGCGGGAGCUCGGCACUCCUGGAGUGGGGUUUACUUUGUUCAGGCGUUGUGUUGGUAUUUGAGGAGACUGGCUACAACUCCACAAGGCGGUUGCUGAGGAUGGAGCCUCUGUGUAUCUCAGAAGACUGCAGUUCUUACUGCUAGGAGACUGCAUGGCUAGUUCCCUCUGAGUUAAGCUUCUAUUUUUGAAGCCCAGAUGCAAUAAGGAGGUGCCUAUGAUAGACACAGAAUACAAACCCCACACAGCUUAAAGCUGGCAGAUGUCUUCUGCAAAACGAUGCCACACCUUGACCCUGAAUGAGGAAGAAGGCAGGGAUCCAUAGGAUUAUCCGGAGUGGAAAACAUGGCUUCCACUUCUAAUUUGUUUUUUAAAAACGGAAUCAUACCUAUGAAUUUCUUAAUAAAAUAUCUUUCUUGUAAAA